GGGUGAGUAACGCGUGGGAAACCUGCCCUAUACAGGGGAAUAGCCUCGGGAAACCGGGAUUAAUGCCCCAUAAAACUCUAGUAUCGCAUGAUACAUGAGUCAAAACUCCGGUGGUAUAGGAUGGUCCCGCGUCCCAUUAGCUAGUUGGUGAGGUAACAGCUCACCAAGGCGACGAUGGGUAGCCGGCCUGAGAGGGUGAUCGGCCACACUGGAACUGAGACACGGUCCAGACUCCUACGGGAGGCAGCAGUGGGGAAUAUUGCACAAUGGGGGAAACCCUGAUGCAGCGAUGCCGCGUGAGCGAUGAAGGCCUUCGGGUCGUAAGCUCUGUCCUUAGGGAAGAAUACUGACGGUACCUAAGGAGGAAGCACCGGCUAACUACGUGCCAGCAGCCGCGGUAAUACGUAGGGUGCAAGCGUUGUCCGGAAUCACUGGGCGUAAAGAGUUCGUAGGCGGCUUUAUAAGUCAGGUGUGAAAGGCAUUGGCUCAACCAAUGUAAGCACUUGAAACUAUAAGGCUUGAGUACUGGAGAGGAGAGUGGAAUUCCUAGUGUAGCGGUGAAAUGCGUAGAUAUUAGGAGGAACACCAGUGGCGAAGGCGACUCUCUGGACAGUUACUGACGCUGAGGAACGAAAGCGUGGGGAGCGAACAGGAUUAGAUACCCUGGUAGUCCACGCCGUAAACGAUGAGUGCUAGGUGUUGGAAGGGACACCUUUCAGUGCCGCAGCUAACGCAUUAAGCACUCCGCCUGGGG
rnacentral:rRNA from 1 species